UGCCCGUCGGCUCCAUUACUCCUCCUCAUUCUCCUCCGCCUUACCCCUCUCCUCGCCGACCUUCGCUGUCUUCGGCGCCAACACCGGCGUCGGCAAGACCCUCGUCUCCGCUGGCCUCGCCGCCUCCCUCCUCCGUUCCCACGCCGCUUCCCCCUCUGCCGUCCUCUACCUCAAACCGCUCCAGACCGGCUUCCCCGACGAUUCCGACGCGGGGUUCCUCUACCGCAGGGUCCCCGCGCUUCUCCGCCCCUCCCACGCCGCGCACCUCGCCGCCUCCAUCGACACCCUCUCCCCUGCCCCGUCAGUGGAAACCCAAUCCCCUUCCCGCGAGGAGGCGGCCUUCUCCUACGACGGGGAGGGUGAGGCGGUGAGGAAGCUUCUGGCUUGCAGGACGCUGUACGCAUGGCGGGAGGCGGUGUCGCCGCACCUGGCGGCGGAGAGGGAGGGGAUGGCGGUAGAAGACGCGCAUGUGAGGUCGCUCCUGGCAGCGUGCCUCGUCGAGGGGGAAAAUUUGGGGAAGGGGGAGGGGGAUGUGUGGAAGCUGGUCGAGACUGCCGGCGGCGUGGCCAGCCCGGGCCCGUCUGGCACGCUGCAGUGCGAUCUCUACAGGUGCGUUGUAAUGCCUCUUCAGCGGUAAAUUUGCUGUUUUACUUAUUUAAUGUUACCAAACGCGUACUAGUAAGCAUGUUUUGCGGGGUGUUUAGUUUGAAUUAAUUGAUUUCUCAGAAAAAGAAGUCUGAAUUAAUCGAGGGAAUGAAAUGGUGCGCAAUUUAGUGUAUGAUGCAAUUGACGUUUCUGUUAUAUAUACUUGUUUCCAGUGUUUAGUUCAGUGGUAUAGUCUGAUGUUUGUUCUGUCUAUUCACAAGGGAUCUCAAUACCUAAAAAAAUCAUUAGCUUCUUCCAUUGAAAUCACUAUCACAUUGGUAGUUUGUAAGAAGAUAUCAUGCAAGCUGGAGAUAACAAUGGUGGUUAGCGAGCAUGAUAAUUGCGGUGAACGAUCUGCUGCUUUGAAGUUCUCUUGAUGUUAUAUGUUGGAUAUCGUGCUGAUUUGUUGUGUUUUCAACCUUUCAUUAACUGGAUCAAAUUUAUGUUUUUAUUUUACAAGUGCUGAAAGUAAUCACAUAUUUGGUGACCGUUUCUGAAAUAUUUCUGAUGUAUGUCUACACGCUCAUCUCUUCUUUUAACAUGCUUUGUUUCUUGGGAACUUAUGGUGUUAUUACCAGACAUCGAGCAUACUUUGAAAUUCUUUUAACCAUGGUUGAACUGGUUACAUCAUUACAUCUAUUUUUAAAGAACCUUGUGGCCUAUUUAACUGUUUGCACAAGCUUCUUUACUGCUAGGUUUAUUAGACUGAUUUACAUCAACACACCUCGUGAUUACGUGACUCUUGGCAGGCAGUUUAGGUUGCCUACUAUUCUUGUUGGAGAUGGUCGUCUUGGUGGUAUUUCAUGCACUUUAUCGGCAUAUGAAACUUUGUUGCUCAGGGGGUAUGAUGUUAGCGCAGUAAUUUUGGAAGAUCAUGGUUUGUCAAACAACAAGUUCUUGCUUUCUUACUUAAGAAACAGGUAACACGGUUCAGUCUUUUUGUUAUUUUUAUAAAUGUUUUAGCAGCUCCAAUUUCAUUGAUACGACAACUUCACAAUGUUUGUACUAUUUAGGGUACCAGUGCUUGUUUUGCCACCUAUUCCAGAAGAUCCAUCAGAUGACCUAACUGAUUGGUUUUCCGAAUCAUCUUCAGUUUUUGGUUUGCUUGAAGAUGCCCUGCGAUCUUUUCAUUUGACAAGAAUUCNNNNNNNNNNNNNNNNNNNNNNNNNNNNNNNNNNNNNNNNNNNNNNNNNNNNNNNNNNNNNNNNNNNNNNNNNNNNNNNNNNNNNNNNNNNNNNNNNNNNAAACUAGCAUGACAGAAAUUCCGGUGUGUCCUCGGGAGCGUUUUUCCUCCUAUAGGACUUUGUUUAGGCUUGUACCUUGCUACAAAAGGGAUUGGACCACUUGAUGCACCAUUGCUACUACUUGUUACUUGUUACUCUUGGCUUGCUACGUUUCACCUCGCUACACAAUCACUUGUUACCGCUACUUUCAGUGCUUGCAGUUAUUACCUUGCUGAAAUCCGUUUAUCAGAGCCUUCUGCCCCUCGUUGGGUUCGACACUCUUACUUAUUGAAAGGACUACGAUUGAUCCCCUAUACUUGUGGUUCAUCAAGACUCUUUUCUGGCGCCGUUGCUGGAGAGUGAAGCGCCUUUGGUAAGUGGAAAUUGGUAAGGAAACAUUUAUAUACUGUGCUGAAAUUUAUUGUCACUUGUCACUAUGGAAACUCUUCCUUUGAGGAGUUUGUUCGGGGUAUCUUCACCACGAACGGAAGCACGAGGAGUUGCUCCUCAACCUGAGGUACCUACUGAAAAUAUCUUUUAUGAAAUUCCUUUGGGUAUGCUUGAGAAACUGCUGGCUAAUCCUUUUACAGGAGAUGGAUCUUCACAUCCAGACUUUCAUCUAAUCUAUGUAGAUGAAGUUUGUGGUUUAUUUAAGCUUGCAGGUUUGCCCGAGGAUGCGGUAAAGAAGAAAGUCUUUCCUUUAUCUUUGAAGGAUAAGGCGUUGACAUGGUAUAGGCUAUGUGAAGAUGCUGGAUCAUGGGGCUACAAUCGGUUGAAAUUGGAAUUUCAUCAAAAGUUCUAUCCUAUGCAUUUAGUACAUCGUGAUCGGAACUUUAUUUAUAACUUUUGGCCUCGUGACAGGGAAAGCAUAGCUCAAGCUUGGGGGAGGCUUAAAUCAAUGCUAUAUUCAUGCCCCAAUCAUGAGCUCUCGAGAGAAAUCAUCACUCAAAACUUUUAUGCUCGGCUUUCUCAUGAAGAUCGUACCAUGCUUGACACUUCUUGUGCCGGUUCUUUUAUGAAGAAGGAUAUUGAUCACAAGUGGAAUUUAUUGGAGAGAAUCAAACGCAACUCUGAAGAUUGGGAGCUAGAGGAAGGUAAGGACUCAGGUAUGAAUUUCCAGUUUGAUUGUGUUAAAUCUUUUGUUGAGACAAACACUUCUAGAGAUUUUAGCGCUAAGUAUGGACUUGACUCUGAGAUAGUAGCUUCUCUAUGUGAAUAUUUUGUUGCUCAUGUUGAUCUUCCCAAGUAGAAGUGGUUUAGAUAUCAUCCUCCUGUAGAAAGCAACAGAGCCAAAACCAAUCUAGUUGAGGAGAAAAUCAUAGCUUUUAGUGAUCUAUUGUUCCUUGUGCUUACACUGAGAAACCACCAUACCCUGCUAGGAUGAAGGAUUAUUCUAAAGCUCCAACUGUGAUACGUAGGGGUUACAUUAGACCACUUGCACCCCCUGGAGAGAUUAGAGUUGAACCUAGUGUUGCUAUUAUCAAAGAUCUCUUAGCCGAAGACAUAGACGGGCAUGUUAUAAAAUUCUGUGAGGACUCCGCUAGAAUUGCUAAACCUCACGCGAAAGACAAGCACGGACAUGUAGUUGGCCUGCCCGUUGUUUCCGUUAAGAUAGGAGAUCACUGUUACCAUGGUUUAUGUGAUAUGGGAGCUAGUGUUAGUGCAAUACCCCGUUCUCUAUAUGAUGAAAUCAAAGAUGAGAUUGCACCUGCUGAGUUAGAACCCAUUGAUGUCACUAUUACGCUAGCUAAUAGAGACACUAUCUGCCCCCUGGGAAUUGUGAGAGACGUAGAAGUCCUGUGUGGUAAUACGAAGUAUCCUACUGAUUUCCUCGUCCUUGGUACUGCACAAGAUAGCUUUUGUCCCAUCAUAUUUGGUAGACCCUUUCUCAAAACUGUCAAUGCUCACAUUGAUUGCAUUAAGCAGACUGUCACAGUAAGUUUCGAGGGUGUGUCUCAUGAAUUUAACUUCUCCAAGUUUGGAAGACAACCCCAUGAAAGAGAGUCGUCUGGUAAAGAUGAAAUCAUUGCUCUUGCCUCUAUUGCCGUACCUCCUACGGAUCCUUUAGAGCAAUAUCUGCUUGAGCAUGAAAAUUACAUGCAUAUGGAGGAGAGAGAUGAGAUAGAUAGAAUUGUCUUAGAACAACAUCCUAUUCUCAAGAAUAAUCUGUCUGUUGAACUGCUUGGGGAUCCUCCCCCACCAAAGGGUGAUCUUGUGUUCGAGCUUAAACAGAUGCCUGAUACUCUUAAGUAUGCCUAUCUUGGUGAGAAGGAGAUAUAUCCUGUCAUUAUUAGUGCUCUCCUCUCAGAGCGCGAAGAGAAGAAGUUACUAAAAACUCUGAGGAAGCACCACGCUACUAUUGGAUAUACUCUUGAUGAUCUUAAGGGUAUUAGUCCUACUCUAUGUCAGCACAAGAUUAAAACCGAUCCUGACUUUAAACAAGUUGCUGAUCAUCAAAGGAGAUUAAAUCCUAAGAUGAAAGAGGUCGUUAGAAAAGAAAUAUUAAAGCUUCUGGAAGCAGGAAUCAUUUAUCCUGUUGCUCAUAGUGAUUGGGUAAGUCUAGUACAUUGCGUACCUAAGAAGGGAAGUAUCACCGUCGUUCCUAAUGAUAAGGAUGAACUAAUCCCACAAAGGAUUAUUACCGGCUAUAGAAUGGUGAUAGACUUCCGGAAACUGAACAAGGCAACCAGGAAAGAUCAUUAUCCUUUGCCGUUCAUAGACCAAAUGCUAGAAAGGCUAUCAAAGCACACACACUUCUCCUUUCUAGACGGUUAUUCAGGUUUCUCGCAGAUACAUGUUGCACAAUCUGAUCAAGAGAAAACCACUUUCACCUGCCCUUUCGGUACCUUUGCCUAUUGACGUAUGCCUUUUGGCUUAUGUAAUGCACCUGCCACCUUCCAAAUAUGUAUGAUGGCUAUAUUCUCUGACUUUUGUGAAAAGAUUGUCGAGGUUUUCAUGGAUGACUUCUCCGUUUACGGGUCUUCCUUUGAUGAUUGCCUCAGCAACCUUGAUCGAGUCUUAUAGAGAUGCGAAGAAACCAACCUCGUCUUGAAUUGGGAGAAGUGCCACUUUAUGGUUAAUGAAGGUAUCGUCUUAGGACACAAAAUCUUUGAAAGAGGCACUGAAGUUGAUAAGGCUAAGGUUGAUGCAAUUGAGAAAAUGCCUUGCCCCACAGAUAUCAGAGGUAUACGAAGUUUCCUAGGUCAUGUUGGUUUCUAUAGAAGGUUCAUUAAAGACUUCUCUAAGAUUUCUAUGCCUCUUACCAACCUCUUGCAGAAGGAUGUUCCUUUUGUUUUUUAUGAGGAUUGUGAGGAAAUCUUUGAAAUACUUAAGAAGGCUUUUAUAACUGCACCUAUUGUUCAACCACCUGAUUGGAACUUACCUUUUGAAAUUAUGUGUGAUGCUAGUGAUUAUGUUGUUGGCGCUGUUCUAGGACAAAGAGUUGAUAAGAAGUUGAAUGUUAUUCACUAUGUUAGUAAAACUCUAGACAGUGCCCAAAGAAACUAUGCUACUACUGAAAAGGAAUUUUUAGCAGUCGUGUUUGCAUGUGAAAAGUUCAAAUCUUACAUUGUUGAUUCCAAGGUGACUAUUCACACUGAUCAUGCUGCUAUUAAGUACCUCAUGGAAAAGAAAGAUGCUAAACCUAGACUUAUCAGAUGGGUUCUCUUGGUACAAGAAUUUGAUUUGCAUGUUGUUGAUAGGAAGGGUGCUGAGAACCCCGUAGCAGAUAACUUGUCUAGGUUGGAGAAUGUUCUUGAUGACCCACAACCUAUUGAUGAUAGCUUUCCUGAUGAGCAAUUGAAUGUCAUCAAUGCUUCACGUAGUACACCGUGGUAUGCUAUUUAUGCAAAUUAUAUCGUUGCCAAAUAUAUACCACCUAGUGUCACAUACCAGCAAAAGAAGAAAUUCUUCUUUGAUUUGAGACAUUACUUUUGGGAUGAUCCUCACCUUUAUAAGGCAGGAGUAGAUGGUGUUAUUAGACGUUGUGUACCUGAACAUGAACAGGGACAGAUCCUACAGAAGUGUCACUCCGAGGCUUACGGAGGACACCAUGCGGGAGAUAGAACUGCACACAAGGUAUUGCAAUCAGGUUUCUAUUGGCCCACUCUCUUCAAGGAUGCCCGUAAGUUUGUCUUGUCUUGUGACGAAUUUCAAAGAAUAGGUAAUAUCAGUAAAUGUCAAGAAAUGCCUAUGAAUUAUUCACUUGUCAUUGAACCAUUUGAUGUUUGGGGCUUUGAUUAUAUGGGACCUUUUCCAAAAUCCAACGGGUAUACUCAUAUCCUAGUUGUUGUUGAUUAUGUUACUAAGUGGGUAGAAGCUAUCCCAACUAGUAGUGUUGAUCACAACACCUCUAUCAGGAUGCUUAAAGAAGUUAUUUUCCCUAGAUUUGGAGUCCCUACAUAUCUAAUGACUGAUGGUGGUUCACAUUUUAUUCAUGGUGCUUUCCGUAAAAUGCUUGCUAAGUAUGAUGUCAACCAUAGAGUUGCAUCUCCCUAUCAUCCCCAGUCGAGUGGUCAAGCAGAGCUAAGCAAUAGAGAGAUUAAACUAAUUCUGCAAAAGACUAUCAAUAGGUCUAGAAAGAAUUGGUCUAAGAAGCUUGAUGAUGCACUAUGGGCUUAUAGAACUGCUUAUAAGAAUCCCAUGGGCAUGUCUCCGUACAAAAUGGUUUACGGUAAAGCAUGUCAUUUACCUCUUGAGCUAGAGCAUAAGGCUUAUUGGGCAAUCAAAGAGCUCAACUUUGAUUUCAAACUUGUUGGUGAGAAGAGGUUAUUUGAUAUUAUCUCACUUGAUGAAUGGAGAGCUCAGGCAUAUGAAAAUGCCAAGUUGUUCAAAGAGAAAGUUAAGAGGUGGCAUGAUAAAAGGAUACAAAAACGUGAGUUCAAUGUAGGUGAUUAUGUCUUGCUAUGUAAUUCUCGUUUAAGAUUUUUUGCAGACAAGCUUCUCUCUAAAUGGGAAGGUCCUUACAUUGUUGAGGAAGUAUAUCGUUUCGGUGCCAUCAAGACCAACAACACGGAAGGUAAUUUUCUGAGAGUGGUAAAUGGGCAAAGAAUCAAGCAUUAUAUCUCAGGUACUCCCAUAAAUGUUGAAAGAAAUAUUAUCAAUAUCAUAACUCCGGAGGAGUACAUAAGGGAUAUUUAUCAGCCUAUUUUCAGACUCCGAAAACAAAGAGGUAUGUGAUUCGGUAAGUAAACCGACUCCAAAACUUUUCUAGUAGGAAUUUUUCUCAGUUUUGGAUUUUUUAGAAAAUUAGAAAUAUUUAAAGUAGUCCGGAAAGCGCACGAGGAGGCGACAAGCCUGCCAAGCGCGGGCCACCCCCUGGCCGCGCCUCGGGGGCUUGUGACCACCUCGUAUGCCUCCCGGACUCUGUUUUCUUGCGGAGUACUCCUUCUGGUCAGAAAAAAAAUCAUUAUAUAUUCUCCCGAAAGGUCUGACCCUCGUAUCACACAAUUUUCCUCUGUUUUCAUUUCGAGCUACUGUGCAGAGAGAUCUAGAUCGCCAUGGCAUCCCCAAAAGUUCCGAAGGACAAGUUCUUCGAGAAGGUCAUCAAUCCCUACCUCGCGGGAGUGCUGCAACACCCUCAAUCUAUCGAGAUGCGUGAGGGGGUGCUGCACAUCCGUGAUGUUGAGGGGCCCAAGAAGACCGGAAGCAUGGAGGCAAGGCUCGAAGUAAUGGAGCAGCAAGUCUUCAAGUGACAAGGGAUGGUGGAACGCGGACUCAACACCAAGCACAUGUUGAUCACGGAGUUCACCAACAAGCACAAGAUUGAUGCCAAUGACAUCGGGAAGCACCUCUCCUGGCUCUAUGACAGAAUUGAUCACCUCCAAGCCCAGAUCUAUGACCUGCAGAACCAAAACUGUGAGUAUGAGUAUAGAUUUAAAUCAAUACGAUUGGCUGCAGAUUUGAGGAUUCCGGAGACUCGAUCAUCUUUCCAUGAUGGAGCACCUAUGCCUUGGAAGACGGAGGAUCAAACCCAUGUUGCAAAAACUUCACCACCAUCACCUUCGAAGGAAGACAACUAAGCACGGGUAUGGGCAAUCCCCUUGGCUUGUGCCAAGGUUGGGGGAGUUGCCCCGAUAUCGUAUCACCAUCACAUCUUUUGCCUUUAUUUUUUCUUAGUUUGAUCCUUUUUGGUUUUAUCUUUCUCUAGUAGAAUAAAGUUCUUAGUGUUUUAGGCUUGAGUUUUGAUUUGUGUCACCCCCGAUGUAUUCGAGCUUGUGAGUCAUAUAAUAAAGAGUGUUUUAGUUAAGGGCCUUGCCUCAUGCCAUGGUCUGAAAGAAAAGAAUGAUGAAAGAACAAAAGCAUGAAAGAUCAUGUAAUGAUCUUAUGGGAAGUGAUGGCUUCACAUAUAAAAAGAAUGUUGAUUUAAACUUGUUGUGGGUGGACAAACAUAGACCUUGGUCAUUGUUGCAAUUAAUAGGAAGUAAUAAGGAAAGAAAGGUUCACAUAUAAAUAUAUCAUCUUUGACACCAUCUAUGAUUGUGAACACUCAUUAAACUAUUGCAUGCUUAGAAGUAGAUGUUGGACAAGGAAGACAACAUAAUGAAUUAUGUUUGCUUGGUUCCGAACAAUGUUAUAUGACUAGAGAUCCCUUAGCAUGUGACGCUUGCUUCCACCUCAUAUCAGCCAAAACUUCCGCACUAAGUAGAGAUACUACUUGUGCAUCCUUAAACCUUCAACCCAGUUUUGCCAUGAGAGUCCACCAUACCUACCUAUGGAUUGAAGAAGAUCCCUCAAGUAAGUUGUCAUCGGUGCAAGCAAUAAGAAUUGCUCCCUAAAUAUGUAUGAUCUAUNNNNNNNNNNNNNNNNNNNNNNNNNNNNNNNNNNNNNNNNNNNNNNNNNNNNNNNNNNNNNNNNNNNNNNNNNNNNNNNNNNNNNNNNNNNNNNNNNNNNNNNNNNNNNNNNNNNNNNNNNNNNNNNNNNNNNNNNUAUGUAUGAUCUAUUACUGUGUGGAAAAUAAGCUUUGUACGAACUUGUGAUGAGGAAGACAGAAAAGCGACAAACUGCAUAAUAAAGUUCUUUAUCACUGGAGGCAAUAUAAAGUGACGUUACUUCACACUAAGGGGUCACACAUCCAAACCCCAAAAGCGUAUGACAACCUCUGCUUCCCUCUGCGAAGGGCCUAUCUUGUACCUUUACCUUUUGCCUUUAAAAGUGUCAUGGUGAUCAACACCAAUUCCUUAUUACGCCUUUAUCUUGGCUAACAUCAUAUGCUAGGGAAAGAUCUAUAUUCAUAUGUCAUCUUGGAAGUAAGUAUUCAUGAAUUAUUAUUGUUGACAUCACCCUUGAGGUAGAUAGUUGGGAGGCGAAACUAUAAGCCCCUAUCUUUCUCUGUGUCCAACUGAAACUUUGAUCUCAUGAGUACCGCGUGAGUUUUAGAAAUUGUAGAAGAGGAAAGGAUGAUUGAGUAUGUGGAUUUGCUUUACAAGCUCUUAUUUGACUCUUUCCGAUGUUAUGAUAAAUUGCAAUUGCUUCAAUGACUAAAGGCUAUUGGUUGUUAAUUCUCAAUAAGGUUCUUGAUUCAUACUUUACUUUGUAAAGGAAUUGUCACUUUAGCAUAAGAGAUUAUAUGAUGAUAUUGCUGUUCUGAUUAUGAUCAUGAUGCCUGCAUGUCCGUAUUUUGUUUUGUCGACACCUCUCUCUCUAAACAUGUGGGCAUAUUUAUUGAUCUCGACUUCCGCUUGAGGACAAGCGAGGUCUAAGCUUGGGGGAGUUGAUACGUCCAAUUUGCAUCAUCCUUUUAUGUUGAUAUUUAUCGCUUUAUGGGCUGUCAUUACACUUCACGGUACAAUACUUAUGCCUUUUCUCUCUUAUUUUACAAGGUUUAUAUGAAGAGGGAGAAUGCUGGCAGCUGGAAUUCUGGCCUGAAAAAGGAGCAAGUUUGAGAUACCUAUUAUGCGCAACUCCAAAAGCCGUGAAAAUCAACGAGGAAUUAUUUUGGAAUUUAUAAAAAAUACUGGGCAGAAGAAGUACCACAGGGGAGCCACCAGGAGGCCACAAGCCUGCUAGGUGCAGCCUACCCCCUGGCUGCGCCUAGGGGGCUUAUGGGCUCCCUAUUGGACGUUUGGCUCCCCUCUUUUGCUAUAAGGAGGGUUUCAUUCCAGAAAAAAAUCAGGAGGAGGCUUUCAGGAGGAAUCGCCGCCGCCACGAGGUGGAACUUGAGCAGAACCAAUCUAGAGCUCCCGCAGGGCCGUCCUACCGGGGAAACUUCCCUCCCAGAGGGGGAAAUCGUCGCCAUCGUCAUCACCGACACUCCUCUCAUCGGAGGGGACGCAUCACCAUCAACAUAUUCAUCAGCACCAUCUCAUCUCCAAACCCUAGUUCAUCUCUUGUAACCAAUCUUCGUAUCGCGACUCCGAUUGGUACUUGUAAGGUUGCUAGUAGUGUUAAUUACUCUUUGCAGUCGAUGCUAGUUGGAUUACUCGGUGGAAGAUUAUAUGUUCAGAUCCUUGAUGCUAUUCAAUACCUCUCUAGUCAUGAACAUAAUUAUGCUUUGUGAGUAGUUACUUUUGUUCCUAAGGACAUGGGAUAAGUCUUGCUAUAAGUAGUCAUGUGAAUUUGGUAUUCGUUCGAUAUUUUGAUGCGUUGUAUGUUGUUUUUUCCUCUAGUGGUGUUAUGUGAAUGUCGACUACAUAACACUUCACCAUUAUUUGGGCCUAGAGGAAGGCAUUGUGAAGUAGUAAGUAGAUGAUGGGUUGCUAGAGUGACAGAAGCUUAAACCCUAGUUUAUGUGUUGCUUCGUAAGGGGCUGAUUUGGAUCCACUAGUUUAAUGAUAUGGUUAGACUUUGUCUUAAUUCUUCUUUCGUAGUUGCGGAUGCUUGCGAGAGGGGUUAAUCAUAAGUGGNNNNNNNNNNNNNNNNNNNNNNNNNNNNNNNNNNNNNNNNNNNNNNNNNNNNNNNNNNNNNNNNNNNNNNNNNNNNNNNNNNNNNNNNNNNNNNNNNNNNAAUCAUAAGUGGGAUGUUUGUCCAAGUAAGGGCAGCACCCAAGCACCGGUCCACCCACAUAUCAAACUAUCAAAGUAGCGAACGCGAAUCUUAUGAACAUGAUGAAAACUAGCUUGACAGAAAUUCCCAUGUGUCCUCGGGAGCGCUUUACCUCCUAUAAGAGUUCGUCCAGGCUUGUCCCUUGCUACAAAAGGGAUUAGGCCACUUUGCUGCACCGUUGUUACUAUUGUUACUUGCUAUGAAUCAUCUUAUCACAACUAUCUGUUACCGAUAAUUUCAGUGCUUGUAGAGAAUACCUUGCUGAAAACCACUUGUCAGAUCCUUCUGCUCCUCGUUGGGUUCGACACUCUUACUUAUCGAAAGGACUAUGAUAGAUCCCCUACACUUGUGGGUCAUCAUUCACCAAGUCCACAACAACAAAUGCAAGAAAUUGUACGUCAAACUCAACAACAAAGUUUUUAGCAUGCAAUACAACAAAAGUGUAUCAUACGAACGUAACUAACACAGAAAUAAAAUUAAGCACGGUGUCGCUUAUGUCAUGCCCACUACUCUUCCAUGAGAUUUUUCUUAAGACCAUUGCGUGUGUCAGAAUCACAAAUGUCAUGGUACACGUGAAGAAAGUAUUGGAUUCAAUCUUGCCUCCUACUUGGCCGCAGCCGUAGUCCAAUGAGGUCAUGCGAGGUGUAACCCAAAUUUUAUCCAUGCUCGGUCUCAAUGACCGUACUAUGCACGAUCUCGUAGAUUGUGAUGUUGUAUCAAAUGAUGUCUUGAUCCAAAAACCUAGCCGGUCCUCGCACAAUAGCAAAUUGGGAUUGCAAAAUCUCAAAAACCCUCUCCAUAUAUUCCGCAACACUUGCUUGAGCAUUAUCUCUACUAUUAAAGGGGGAUAUGCCGUCGUGAUGGUUCAACCAUCGUCCUCUCCUCCAGCGCACAAAAAUAGUAAUCUCGCACGCACUACAGAAUCAGAAAAAACAACACACCCUCCCACCCCUCAUCGGAAAAACUAAUGAAAAACGCGUGCGCACACACACACACGUCGCGGGCCCCAUCUCUCCUCAACCCCUCGCUCUCGAUCUCGUAUCUCUCGGAGAAAAUUCAUCAUCGGUUGUGCUCGCCAUCUAGCUCAUGCACUGCAUCGUGAAUUAUUGCAAGUGCCAUAUGGAUCCCGUCGAGAGAGAUAGCAGAAAGAGAGUGAGUGAGUGAGGGAGGGAGGGAGAGGGAGUGGAGGGGGAGAGAGGGAGAGGGAGGGGAGGGAGAGAGAGAGGGGGAGAGAGCGAGAGAGGGAGAGAGGGAGAGAGAGAGAGAGAGAGGAGCGCAGCGGCGGUCCUGGCCUUAGCGCCACAAAGGAAGAGCGGUGGUGGGACGACACUGUUGUUGCUCGGACAAGGGGGCUCCUCACGUAGAGGCUGACACGAAUCAAAGGAGAUGGCGGUGCAAAUCCUAUCUUCCUGUCUGUGUUUCCCUCUACAAGGCCUCUUUGGAGUUAGUACACUUCCCAUCCACCUCUUCUUCCCAUAUACCAAGGCAUGUGCCUGUGCCAUUGACCCUCAUCGGUGGAGGUGCGCGAGGAGUCCGUCCACGAGCAGCACGUGGACGUCUCGUCCAUGUCACUGAUCAACACCGACCUCGAGACGAAAGAUCCAUUUUGUUGCAGAGGCCUUCUAUUACUGGUCCACAGAGCCGACUUCUUCCUCUAUGGUUGGAUCGAGACCGCAACUACUCAUUAAGCCUCUUAUAUCUCUCUUAAAUUUUCUAGGGUUCUUGGUGUGGAUUUGAAUAGAGAGCUCAAGCUUGAUCUUGAUAUCUUGGUUAUGUCUUGUACUAUUUUUGUCGAUACAAAUUCUUACUGCAAAGUUUUCUUAGACGGGAAGUAAGUUAUUUUUUCGAAAAGGCUUUGUGGUUCUUUAUUAAUGGCGUUCAUCUACUACAAUAUGUGAUACACAUUCUUGAGGUAUAUGUGAUGACCCACAAGUAUAGGGGAUCAAUAGUAGUCCUUUCGAUAAGUAAGAGUGUCGAACCCAACGAGGAGCAGAAGGCUCUGAUAAACGGAUUUUAGCAAGGUAAUAACUACAAGCACUGAAAGUAGCGGUAACAAGUGAUUGUGUAGCGAGGUGAAACAUAGCAAGCAAAGAGUAACAAGUAACAAGUAGUAGCAAUGGUGCAGCAAGUGGCCCAAUCCCUUUUGUAGCAAGGGACAAGCCUGAACAAAGUCCUAUAGGAGGAAAAACGCUCCCGAGGACACACGGGAAUUUUUGUCAUGCUAGUUUCANNNNNNNNNNNNNNNNNNNNNNNNNNNNNNNNNNNNNNNNNNNNNNNNNNNNNNNNNNNNNNNNNNNNNNNNNNNNNNNNNNNNNNNNNNNNNNNNNNNNGGGAGUUGAUACGUCCAUUUUGCAUCAUGAUUUCAUGUUGAUAUUUAUUGCUUUUUGGGCUGUUAUAUUACUUGUGGUACCAUAUUUAUGCUUUUUCUCUCUUAUUUUGCAAGGAUUAUUUGAAGAUGGAGAAUUCAGGCAGCUGGAAUUCUCGACUAGAAAAGGAGCAAAUCCUAGUCCACUAUUCUGCACAUCUCCAAAUUCCCUGAAAAUUUACGUGGAUUUUUUCUGGAAUAUAUUAAAAAUAUUGGGCGAAAGAACUACCGAAGGGGGGCCACCAGGGCCCCACAAGCCCCCACUCCGCCAGCACCCCCCUGGUGGCGGUGGGCAAGCUUGUGGGCUGCCUGAAGGCCCACUAGCGCCCCUCUUUUGCUAUAUGAAGCGUCCUGGUCUGGAAAAAAAAUCAAUAGGGAGCUUUUUCGUGGUUUCGCCGCCGCCACGGGCGGAACUUGAGCAGAUCCAAUCUAGAGCUCCGGCAGGACGAUCCUACCGGAGAAACUUCCCUCUCGGAGGGGGGAAUCGUCGCCAUCGUCAUCACCAACACUCCUCUCGUCGGAGGGGAGGCAUCUUCAUCAACAUCUUCAUCAGCACCAUCUCCUCUCCAAUCCCUAGUUCAUCUCUUGUAACCAAUCUUCGUCUCGCAACUCCGAUUGGUACUUGUAAGGUUGCUAGUAGUGUUGAUUACUCUUUGUAGUUGAUGCUAGUUGGAUUACUUGGUGGAAGAGUUUAUGUUCAGAUCCUUGAUGCUAUUCAUUACACCUCUGAUCAUGAUUAUGAUUAUGUUUUGUGAGUAGUUACUUUUGUUCCUGAGGACAUGGGAUAAGUCAUGUUAAUAAUAGUCAUGUGAAUUUGAUAUUCGUUUCGUAUUUUGAUAUGUUGUAUGUUGUCUUUUCCUCUAGUGGUGUUAUGUGAACGUCCACUACAUAACACUUCACCAUAUUUGGGCCUAGAGGAAGGCAUUGGGAAGUAGUAAGUAGAUGAUGGGUUGCUGGAGUGACAGAAGCUUAAACCCCAGUCUAUGUGUUGCUUCGUGAGGGGCUGAUUUGGAUCCACUAGUUUAAUGAUAUGGUUAGACUUUGUCUUAAUUCUUCUUUUGUAGUUGUGGAUGCUUGCGAGAGAGGUUAAUCAUAAGUGGGAUGAUUGUCCAAGUAAGGGCAGUACCCAAGCGCCGGUCCACCCACAUAUCAAACUAUCAAAGUAACGAACGCGAAUCAUAUGAACAUGAUGAAACUAGCAUGACAAAAAUUCCCGUGUGUCCUCGGGAGCGUUUUUCCUCCUAUAGGACUUUGUUCAGGCUUGUCCCUUGCUACAAAAGGGAUUGGGCCACUUGCUGCACCAUUGCUACUACUUGUUACUUGUUACUCUUUGCUUGCUAUGUUUCACCUCGCUACACAAUCACUUGUUACCGCUACUUUCAGUGCUUGUAGUUAUUACCUUGCUAAAAUCCGUUUAUCAGAGCCUUCUGCUCCUCGUUGGGUUCGACACUCUUACUUAUCGAAAGGACUACUAUUGAUCCCCUAUACUUGUGGGUCAUCACAUAUACCUCAAGAAUGUGUAUCACAUAUUGUAGUAGAUGAACGCCAUUAAUAAAGAACCACAAAGCCUUUUCGAAAAAAUAACUUACUUCCCGUCUAAGAAAACUUUGCAGUAAGAAUUUGUAUCGACAAAAAUAGUACAAGACAUAACCAAGAUAUCAAGAUCAAGCUUGAGCUCUCUAUUCAAAUCCACACCAAGAACCCUAGAAAAUUUAAGAGAGAUAUAAGAGGCUUAAUGAGUAGUUGCGGUCUCGAUCCAACCAUAGAGGAAGAAGUCGGCUCUGUGGACCAGUAAUAGAAGGCCUCUGCAACAAAAUGGAUCUUUCGUCUCGAGGUCGGUGUUGAUCAGUGACAUGGACGAGACGUCCACGUGCUGCUCGUGGACGGACUCCUCGCGCACCUCCACCGAUGAGGGUCAAUGGCACAGGCACAUGCCUUGGUAUAUGGGAAGAAGAGGUGGAUGGGAAGUGUACUAACUCCAAAGAGGCCUUGUAGAGGGAAACACAGACAGGAAGAUAGGAUUUGCACCGCCAUCUCCUUUGAUUCGUGUCAGCCUCUACGUGAGGAGCCCCCUUGUCCGAGCAACAACAGUGUCGUCCCACCACCGCUCUUCCUUUGUGGCGCUAAGGCCAGGACCGCCGCUGCGCUCCUCUCUCUCUCUCUCUCUCCCUCUCUCCCUCUCUCGCUCUCUCCCCCUCUCUCUCUCCCUCCCCUCCCUCUCCCUCUCUCCCCCUCCACUCCCUCUCCCUCCCUCCCUCACUCACUCACUCUCUUUCUGCUAUCUCUCUCGACGGGAUCCAUAUGGCACUUGCAAUAAUUCACGAUGCAGUGCAUGAGCUAGAUGGCGAGCACAACCGAUGAUGAAUUUUCUCCGAGAGAUACGAGAUCGAGAGCGAGGGGUUGAGGAGAGAUGGGGCCCGCGACGUGUGUGUGUGUGCGCACGCGUUUUUCAUUAGUUUUUCCGAUGAGGGGUGGGAGGGUGUGUUGUUUUUUCUGAUUCUGUAGUGCGUGCGAGAUUACUAUUUUUGUGCGCUGGAGGAGAGGACGAUGGUUGAACCAUCACGACGGCAUAUCCCCCUUUAAUAGUAGAGAUAAUGCUCAAGCAAGUGUUGCGGAAUAUAUGGAGAGGGUUUUUGAGAUUUUGCAAUCCCAAUUUGCUAUUGUGCGAGGACCGGCUAGGUUUUUGGAUCAAGACAUCAUUUGAUACAACAUCACAAUCUACGAGAUCGUGCAUAGUACGGUCAUUGAGACCGAGCAUGGAUAAAAUUUGGGUUACACCUCGCAUGACCUCAUUGGACUACGGCUGCGGCCAAGUAGGAGGCAAGAUUGAAUCCAAUACUUUCUUCACGUGUACCAUGACAUUUGUGAUUCUGACACACGCAAUGGUCUUAAGAAAAAUCUCAUGGAAGAGUAGUGGGCAUGACAUAAGCGACACCGUGCUUAAUUUUAUUUCUGUGUUAGUUACGUUCGUAUGAUACACUUUUGUUGUAUUGCAUGCUAAAAACUUUGUUGUUGAGUUUGACGUACAAUUUCUUGCAUUUGUUGUUGUGGACUUGGUGAAUGAUGACCCACAAGUGUAGGGGAUCUAUCAUAGUCCUUUCGAUAAGUAAGAGUGUCGAACCCAACGAGGAGCAGAAGGAUCUGACAAGUGGUUUUCAGCAAGGUAUUCUCUACAAGCACUGAAAUUAUCGGUAACAGAUAGUUGUGAUAAGAUGAUUCAUAGCAAGUAACAAUAGUAACAACGGUGCAGCAAAGUGGCCUAAUCCCUUUUGUAGCAAGGGACAAGCCUGGACGAACUCUUAUAGGAGGUAAAGCGCUCCCGAGGACACAUGGGAAUUUCUGUCAAGCUAGUUUUCAUCAUGUUCAUAAGAUUCGCGUUCGCUACUUUGAUAGUUUGAUAUGUGGGUGGACCGGUGCUUGGGUGCUGCCCUUACUUGGACAAACAUCCCACUUAUGAUUAACCCCUCUCGCAAGCAUCCGCAACUACGAAAGAAGAAUUAAGACAAAGUCUAACCAUAUCAUUAAACUAGUGGAUCCAAAUCAGCCCCUUACGAAGCAACACAUAAACUAGGGUUUAAGCUUCUGUCACUCUAGCAACCCAUCAUCUACUUACUACUUCACAAUGCCUUCCUCUAGGCCCAAAUAAUGGUGAAGUGUUAUGUAGUCGACAUUCACAUAACACCACUAGAGGAAAAAACAACAUACAACGCAUCAAAAUAUCGAACGAAUACCAAAUUCACAUGACUACUUAUAGCAAGACUUAUCCCAUGUCCUUAGGAACAAAAGUAACUACUCACAAAGCAUAAUUAUGUUCAUGACUAGAGAGGUAUUGAAUAGCAUCAAGGAUCUGAACAUAUAAUCUUCCACCGAGUAAUCCAACUAGCAUCGACUGCAAAGAGUAAUUAACACUACUAGCAACCUUACAAGUACCAAUCGGAGUCGCGAUACGAAGAUUGGUUACAAGAGAUGAACUAGGGUUUGGAGAUGAGAUGGUGCUGAUGAAUAUGUUGAUGGUGAUGCGUCCCCUCCGAUGAGAGGAGUGUCGGUGAUGACGAUGGCGACGAUUUCCCCCUCUGGGAGGGAAGUUUCCCCGGUAGGACGGCCCUGCGGGAGCUCUAGAUUGGUUCUGCUCAAGUUCCACCUCGUGGCGGCGGCGAUUCCUCCUGAAAGCCUCCUCCUGAUUUUUUUCUGGAAUGAAACCCUCCUUAUAGCAAAAGAGGGGAGCCAAACGUCCAAUAGGGAGCCCAUAAGCCCCCUAGGCGCAGCCAGGGGGUAGGCUGCACCUAGCAGGCUUGUGGCCUCCUGGUGGCUCCCCUGUGGUACUUCUUCUGCCCAGUAUUUUUUAUAAAUUCCAAAAUAAUUCCUCGUUGAUUUUCACGGCUUUUGGAGUUGCGCAUAAUAGGUAUCUCAAACUUGCUCCUUUUUCAGGCCAGAAUUCCAGCUGCCAGCAUUCUCCCUCUUCAUAUAAACCUUGUAAAAUAAGAGAGAAAAGGCAUAAGUAUUGUACCGUGAAGUGUAAUGACAGCCCAUAAAGCGAUAAAUAUCAACAUAAAAGGAUGAUGCAAAUUGGACGUAUCAACUCCCCCAAGCUUAGACCUCGCUUGUCCUCAAGCGGAAGUCGAGAUCAAUAAAUAUGCCCACAUGUUUAGAGAGAGAGGUGUCGACAAAACAAAAUACGGACAUGCAGGCAUCAUGAUCAUAAUCAGAACAGCAAUAUCAUCAUAUAAUCUCUUAUGCUAAAGUGACAAUUCCUUUACAAAGUAAAGUAUGAAUCAAGAACCUUAUUGAGAAUUAACAACCAAUAGCCUUUAGUCAUUGAAGCAAUUGCAAUUUAUCAUAACAUCGGAAAGAGUCAAAUAAGAGCUUGUAAAGCAAAUCCACAUACUCAAUCAUCCUUUCCUCUUCUACAAUUUCUAAAACUCACGCGGUACUCAUGAGAUCAAAGUUUCAGUUGGACACAGAGAAAGAUAGGGGCUUAUAGUUUCGCCUCCCAACUAUCUACCUCAAGGGUGAUGUCAACAAUAAUAAUUCAUGAAUACUUACUUCCAAGAUGACAUAUGAAUAUAGAUCUUUCCCUAGCAUAUGAUGUUAGCCAAGAUAAAGGCGUAAUAAGGAAUUGGUGUUGAUCACCAUGACACUUUUAAAGGCAAAAGGUAAAGGUACAAGAUAGGCCCUUCGCAGAGGGAAGCAGAGGUUGUCAUACGCUUUUGGGGUUUGGAUGUGUGACCCCUUAGUGUGAAGUAACGUCACUUUAUAUUGCCUCCAGUGAUAAAGAACUUUAUUAUGCAGUUUGUCGCUUUUCUGUCUUCCUCAUCACAAGUUCGUACAAAGCUUAUUUUCCACACAGUAAUAGAUCAUACAUAUUUAGGGAGCAAUUCUUAUUGCUUGCACCGAUGACAACUUACUUGAGGGAUCUUCUUCAAUCCAUAGGUAGGUAUGGUGGACUCUCAUGGCAAAACUGGGUUGAAGGUUUAAGGAUGCACAAGUAGUAUCUCUACUUAGUGCGGAAGUUUUGGCUGAUAUGAGGUGGAAGCAAGCGUCACAUGCUAAGGGAUCUCUAGUCAUAUAACAUUGUUCGGAACCAAGCAAACAUAAUUCAUUAUGUUGUCUUCCUUGUCCAACAUCUACUUCUAAGCAUGCAAUAGUUUAAUGAGUGUUCACAAUCAUAGAUGGUGUCAAAGAUGAUAUAUUUAUAUGUGAACCUUUCUUUCCUUAUUACUUCCUAUUAAUUGCAACAAUGACCAAGGUCUAUGUUUGUCCACCCACAACAAGUUUAAAUCAACAUUCUUUUUAUAUGUGAAGCCAUCACUUCCCAUAAGAUCAUUACAUGAUCUUUCAUGCUUUUGUUCUUUCAUCAUUCUUUUCUUUCAGACCAUGGCAUGAGGCAAGGCCCUUAACUAAAACACUCUUUAUUAUAUGACUCACAAGCUCGAAUACAUCGGGGGUGACACAAAUCAAAACUCAAGCCUAAAACACUAAGAACUUUAUUCUACUAGAGAAAGAUAAAACCAAAAAGGAUCAAACUAAGAAAAAAUAAAGGCAAAAGAUGUGAUGGUGAUACGAUAUCGGGGCAACUCCCCCAACCUUGGCACAAGCCAAGGGGAUUGCCCAUACCCGUGCUUAGUUGUCUUCCUUCGAAGGUGAUGGUGGUGAAGUUUUUGCAACAUGGGUUUGAUCCUCCGUCUUCCAAGGCAUAGGUGCUCCAUCAUGGAAAGAUGAUCGAGUCUCCGGAAUCCUCAAAUCUGCAGCCAAUCGUAUUGAUUUAAAUCUAUACUCAUACUCACAGUUUUGGUUCUGCAGGUCAUAGAUCUGGGCUUGGAGGUGAUCAAUUCUGUCAUAGAGCCAGGAGAGGUGCUUCCCGAUGUCAUUGGCAUCAAUCUUGUGCUUGUUGGUGAACUCCGUGAUCAACAUGUGCUUGGUGUUGAGUCCGCGUUCCACCAUCCCUUGUCACUUGAAGACUUGCUGCUCCAUUACUUCGAGCCUUGCCUCCAUGCUUCCGGUCUUCUUGGGCCCCUCAACAUCACGGAUGUGCAGCACCCCCUCACGCAUCUCGAUAGAUUGAGGGUGUUGCAGCACUCCCGCGAGGUAGGGAUUGAUGACCUUCUCGAAGAACUUGUCCUUCGGAACUUUUGGGGAUGCCAUGGCGAUCUAGAUCUCUCUGCACAGUAGCUCGAAAUGAAAACAGAGGAAAAUUGUGUGAUACGAGGGUCAGACCUUUCGGGAGAAUAUAUAAUGAUUUUUUUUCUGACCAGAAGGAGUACUCCGCAAGAAAACAGAGUCCGGGAGGCAUACGAGGUGGUCACAAGCCCCCGAGGCGCGGCCAGGGGGUGGCCCGCGCUUGGCAGGCUUGUCGCCUCCUCGUGCGCUUUCCGGACUACUUUAAAUAUUUCUAAUUUUCUAAAAAAUCCAAAACUGAGAAAAAUUCCUACUAGAAAAGUUUUGGAGUCGGUUUACUUACCGAAUCACAUACCUCUUUGUUUUCGGAGUCUGAAAAUAGGCUGAUAAAUAUCCCUUAUGUACUCCUCCGGAGUUAUGAUAUUGAUAAUAUUUCUUUCAACAUUUAUGGGAGUACCUGAGAUAUAAUGCUUGAUUCUUUGCCCAUUUACCACUCUCAGAAAAUUACCUUCCGUGUUGUUGGUCUUGAUGGCACCGAAACGAUAUACUUCCUCAACAAUGUAAGGACCUUCCCAUUUAGAGAGAAGCUUGUCUGCAAAAAAUCUUAAACGAGAAUUACAUAGCAAGACAUAAUCACCUACAUUGAACUCACGUUUUUGUAUCCUUUUAUCAUGCCACCUCUUAACUUUCUCUUUGAACAACUUGGCAUUUUCAUAUGCCUGAGCUCUCCAUUCAUCAAGUGAGAUAAUAUCAAAUAACCUCUUCUCACCAACAAGUUUGAAAUCAAAGUUGAGCUCUUUGAUUGCCCAAUAAGCCUUAUGCUCUAGCUCAAGAGGUAAAUGACAUGCUUUACCGUAAACCAUUUUGUACGGAGACAUGCCCAUGGGAUUCUUAUAAGCAGUUCUAUAAGCCCAUAGUGCAUCAUCAAGCUUCUUAGACCAAUUCUUUCUAGACCUAUUGAUAGUCUUUUGCAGAAUUAGUUUAAUCUCUCUAUUGCUUAGCUCUGCUUGACCACUCGACUGGGGAUGAUAGGGAGAUGCAACUCUAUGGUUGACAUCAUACUUAGCAAGCAUUUUACGGAAAGCACCAUGAAUAAAAUGUGAACCACCAUCAGUCAUUAGAUAUGUAGGGACUCCAAAUCUAGGGAAAAUAACUUCUUUAAGCAUCCUGAUAGAGGUGUUGUGAUCAACACUACUAGUUGGGAUAGCUUCUACCCACUUAGUAACAUAAUCAACAACAACUAGGAUAUGAGUAUACCCGUUGGAUUUUGGAAAAGGUCCCAUAUAAUCAAAGCCCCAAACAUCAAAUGGUUCAAUGACAAGUGAAUAAUUCAUAGGCAUUUCUUGACAUUUACUGAUAUUACCUAUUCUUUGAAAUUCGUCACAAGACAAGACAAACUUACGGGCAUCCUUGAAGAGAGUGGGCCAAUAGAAACCUGAUUGCAAUACCUUGUGUGCAGUUCUAUCUCCCGCAUGGUGUCCUCCGUAAGCCUCGGAGUGACACUUCUGUAGGAUCUGUCCCUGUUCAUGUUCAGGUACACAACGUCUAAUAACACCAUCUACUCCUGCCUUAUAAAGGUGAGGAUCAUCCCAAAAGUAAUGUCUCAAAUCAAAGAAGAAUUUCUUCUUUUGCUGGUAUGUGACACUAGGUGGUAUAUAUUUGGCAACGAUAUAAUUUGCAUAAAUAGCAUACCACGGUGUACUACGUGAAGCAUUGAUGACAUUCAAUUGCUCAUCAGGAAAGCUAUCAUCAAUAGGUUGUGGGUCAUCAAGAACAUUCUCCAACCUAGACAAGUUAUCUGCUACGGGGUUCUCAGCACCCUUCCUAUCAACAACAUGCAAAUCAAAUUCUUGUACCAAGAGAACCCAUCUGAUAAGUCUAGGUUUAGCAUCUUUCUUUUCCAUGAGGUACUUAAUAGCAGCAUGAUCAGUGUGAAUAGUCACCUUGGAAUCAACAAUGUAAGAUUUGAACUUUUCACAUGCAAACACGACUGCUAAAAAUUCCUUUUCAGUAGUAGCAUAGUUUCUUUGGGCACUGUCUAGAGUUUUACUAACAUAGUGAAUAACAUUCAACUUCUUAUCAACUCUUUGUCCUAGAACAGCGCCAACAACAUAAUCACUAGCAUCACACAUAAUUUCAAAAGGUAAGUUCCAAUCAGGUGGUUGAACAAUAGGUGCAAUUAUCAAGGCCUUUUUAAGUAUUUCAAAGGCUUCCUCACAAUCAUCGUCAAAACAAAAGGAAUAUCCUUUUGCAAGAGAUUAGUAAGAGGCCUAUAAAUAUUAGAAAAGUCCUUAAUGAACCUUCUAUAGAAACUAGCAUGACCAAGGAAACUUCUUAUACCUUUGAUAUCUGUAGGGCAUGGCAUUUUCUCGAUCGCAUCAACUUUAGCCUUAUCGACUUCAAUACCUCUCUCAAAAUUUUUAUGUCCUAAGACGAUGCCUUCAUUAACCAUAAAGUGGCACUUCUCCCAAUUCAAGACAAGACUGGUAUCUUUACAUCUCUGCAAAACUCGAUCAAGGUUGCUGAGGCAAUCAUCAAAAGAAGACCCGUAAACGGAGAAGUCAUCCAUGAAAAUCUCAACAGUCUUUUCACAAAAGUCAGAGAAUAUAGCCAUCAUACAUCUUUGAAAGGUAGCAGGUGCAUUACAUAAGCCAAAAGGCAUACGUCUGUAAGCAAAGGUACCGAAAGGGCAGGUGAAAGUGGUUUUCUCCUGAUCAGAUUGUGCAACAGGUAUUUGGGAGAAACCAGAAUAACCAUCUACAAAGUAGAAGUGUGUGUUUAGACAAUAUUUCUAGCAUUUGGUCAAUAAAAGGCAAAGGGUAAUGAUCUUUCCUAGUGGCCUUAUUCAAUUUCCUAAAAUUAAUCACCAUCCUAUAGCCAGUAAUAAUCCUCUGUGGGAUCAAUUCAUCCUUAUCAUUAGGGACAACGGUAAUACCUCCCUUCUUAGGGACGCAACGCACCGGACUUACCCAAUCAUUAUGAGCAACCACAGGAGCUUUAGUAUUUCUUUUCUUACUACCUCUUUCAUCUUAGGAUUUAAUCUCUGUUGAUGAUCGGCAACUGGUUUGGAACCAGGAUCGGUUUUAAUUUUGUGCUGGCAUAGAGUGGGACUAAUGCCCUUAAGAUCGUCAAGAGUAUAUCCAAUAGGAGCACGGUGCUUCCUUGGAGUUUUUAACAACUUGUUUUCUUCAUGCUCUGAAAAUGUAGCACUAAUUAUAACAGGAUAUAUCUCUUUUUCAUCAAGAUAAGCAUACUUAAGAGUAUCAGGUAACUGCUUAAGUUCAAACACAGGAUCACCCUUUGGUGGGGGUGGAUCUCCAAGCAGUUCAACAGGCAAAUUGUUCUUAAGGAUAGGAUGUUGUUCAAAGAUAACUCUAUCUAUCUCAUUCCUUUCAUCCAUAUGCAUAUCAUUUUCAUGCUCAAGCAAGUAUUGCUCUAAAGGAUCUGUAGGAGGCACAUCAAUAGAAGCUAGAGCAAUAAUUUCAUCCUUACUAGACAACUCUUUUUCAUGAGGUUGUCUACCAAACUUGGAGAAAUUGAACUCAUGUGACACACCUUCAAAGCCAACAGUAACAAUUUGCUUCUCACAGUCAAUAUGAGCAUUGACAGUAUUGAGAAAAGGUCUGUCAAAUAUGAUGGGACAAAGCUAUCUUGUGUGGUAGCAAGAACGAGAAAAUCAGCAGGAUACUUAGUUUUACCACACAAAACUUCAACAUCUAUAACAAUUCCCAAAGGGCAGAUAGUAUCUCUAUUGGCAAGCUGAAUAGUGACAUCAAUAGGUUCCAUCUCGACAGGUGCAAUCUCGUCCUUGAUUUCAUCAUAUAAAGAUUGAGGUAUUUCACUAACACUAGCACCCACGUCACAUAAACCAUGAUAACCAUGAUCUCCUAUCUUAACAGAAACAACAGGCGUGCCAACAACAGGCCUAUGUUUGUCUCUAGCAUGAGGUUUAGCAUUUCUAGCAGCAUCUUCGCAGAAGUGAAUAUCAUGGCCCUCAACAUUGUCGGACACGAGAUCUUUGAUAAUAGCAAUGCUAGGUUCAACUCUAAUUUUCUCAGGAAGUGUAGGUGUUCUAAUGUAGCCCCUAUGUAUCACAGUUGAAACUUUAGAAUGAUCCUUUAUCCUAAUAGGGAAAGGUGGUUUCUCAAUGUAAGCACUGGGAACAAUAGGAUCAUUAUAAGCAAUGACUUUCUCUUCAACUGGAUCGGGUUUAACUACAUUGACUUCUAAGGGAGGAUGAUAUUUAAACCACUUCUCUUUAGGGAGAUCAAUAUGAGCAGCAAAUGAUUCACACAAUGAAGCUACUAUCUCAGAGUCAAGUCCAUAUUUAGCGCUAAAAUCACAAAAAGUAUUUGUUUGGACAAAGGAUUUAACGCAAUCAAACUUGAAAUUCAUACCUGACUCCUUACCUUCAUCAAACUCCCAAUCUUCAGAGUUGUGUUUAAUUCUUUCCAAUAAAUUCCAUUUGAAGUCAAUAUCUCUCUUCGUAAAAGAACCGGUACAAGAAGUGUCAAGCAUGGUGCGAUUAUCAUGAGAAAGCCGAGCAUAGAAGUUAUGAAUGAUAAUUUCUCUCGAGAGCUCAUGGUUGGGGCAUGAAUAUAACAUUGAUUUAAGCCCCCCCCCCCCAAGCUUGAGCGAUAGUUUCUCUGUCACGAGGCCAAAAAUUAUAAAUAUAAUUCCGAUCACGAUGUACCAAAUGCAUAGGAUAAAACUUUUGAUAAAAUUCCAAUUUCAGUCGGUUGUAGUUCCAUGAUCUAGUAUCAUCACAUAGCCUAUACCAUGUCAAUGCUUUAUCCCCCAAAGAUAAGGGCAAUACCUUCUUCUUGACCUCAUCCUCGGGCAAACCUGAAAGAUUAAAUAAACCACAAACUUCAUCUACAUAGAUUAGAUGCAAGUCGGGAUGUGAUGUUUCAUUUCCUGUAAAAGGAUUAGCCAACAGUUUCUCUAGCAUACCCAAAGGAAUUUCAUAGCAAAUAUUUUCAGUAGGUGCAGCAGGUUGAGGAGCAACUCUUUGUGCUUCCGUUCGAGGUGAAGAUACCCCAAACAAGCUCCUCAAAGGAUUAGUUUCCAUAGUGACAAGUGACAAUAAAUUUCAGCACACUAUAUAAAUGUUUCCUUACCAAAGGCGCUUCACUCCCCGGCAACGGCGCCAGAAAAGAGUCUUGAUGACCCAAAAGUGUAGGGGAUCUAUCGUAGUCCUUUCGAUAAGUAAGAGUGUCAAACCCAACGAGGAGCACAAUGAUCUGACAAGUGGUUUUCAACAAGGUAUUCUCUGCAAGCACUGAAAUUAUCGGUAACAGAUAGUUGUGAUAAGAUGAUUCGUAGAAAGUAGCAAGUAACAAUAGUAACAACGGUGCAGCAAAGUGGCCCAAUCCCUUUUGUAGCAAGGUACAAGCCUGGACAAACUCUUAUAGGAGAUAAAGCGCUCCCGCGGACACAUGGGAAUUUCUGUCAUGCUAGUUUUCAUCAUGUUCAUAAGAUUCGCGUUCGCUACUUUGAUAGUUUGAUAUGUGGGUGGAUCGGUGCUUGGUGCUGCCCUUACUUGGACAAACACCCCACUUAUGAUUAACCCCUCUCGCAAGCAUCCGCAACUACGAAAGAAGAAUUAAGACAAAGUCUAACCAUAGCAUUAAACUAGUGGAUCCAAAUCAGCCCCUUACGAAGCAACACAUAAACUAGGGUUUAAGCUUCUGUCAGUCAAGCAACCCAUCAUCUACUUACUACUUACCAAUGCCUUCCUCUAGGCCCAAAUAAUGGUGAAGUGUUAUGUAGUCGACGUUCACAUAACACCACUAGAGGAAAAACAACAUACAACGCAUCAAAAUAUCGAACGAAUACCAAAUUCACAUGACUACUUAUAGCAAGACCUAUCCCAUGUCCUCAGGAACAAAAGUAACUACUCACAAAGCAUAAUUAUGUUCAUGACCAGAGAGGUAUUGAAUAGCAUCAAGGAUCUAAACAUAUAAUUUUCCACCGAGUAAUCCAACUACCAUCAACUACAAAGAGUAAUCAACACUACUAGCUUAUAUUUUAGAUUCAUUUAAUGGAUGUGGCUUAUAUUUUCUAUGUAAUAUGUAUGCAGUUUGAGAUGAAGAAAUAGAUAUGCAACUGUUGUGCGGUUUCCUUAUUUUAAGGCAGUUGGUGUAGUGGUUGUGCUCUAUUAUAGAGAAGUUGUUGGAACAUAUGUGUCCUAUCAAUGAUUACCGUAAAUAUUUUACAUCUUUUUACGUUAAAAAGGUUCUAAUUUUUUCCCUAAAUCUUAUUGCAACCAUAAUUUGAUGUCCUAAAAUAGGGAAGCUAGCUAUGGGACAUGCUCUAAGAGCAUCUCCAAGAGUCGCGCUAUAUAAGCGUCGCGCUGGAAAAAAGCGUUUUUUGGACGUGCACACCCAACUCGGGCGCUACAGCGGAGGUGGAAAAACCGUGCGCGCUGCAUAAGAGGUUCAGCGCGUGUGACGAAAUAGCAUCACGCCCCGCUUAUUUCGUGCGCCCGCGUGUUGCACACUCGAGCACCCAUGAAACACCUUCUCCUACCUCCCGCUUUCGCUCCGCCCGUGCCCCGCCCGCCUCGCCGCUGGCGGAUUCUCCCGAUGGACGGCUGUGCCGACAUCACCCUCACCCCUCCGUACGCGCGCAGCCCUGCCGCUGCCUCCGCUGCCGUCGCCGUCGGCGCAAAUCCUAGCGCGGGGAGCUUUGGCUUUGCCUCCGCUGGUGCUUCUCCAACCACGGGUCCCACGCGUGGCCUUUUCAUGGCACCACGGACGACCUCGGCAGCGGCUGGCGGCGCCCGCCCUGAAGCCACGUGCCCCCUCCUCGAAGAUCCCAAAUGCAUCGAUGGCGAAGAAGGGCAAGGUCUCUGGGAAGAAGAACAAGGCGGCAAAUGACUCCUCUAGACGACCGAAGAAGAAACUUGCAGUUCGUACGAAGGAUGCGGCGGUGACCGAAGCGCCGGCGAUCUGGCCUUACUGCGUCGACGGGCGAUGCGCACAAUGUGUUCGAUGAAAUACCCCCGAGGUAAAAUCUCACUCAUUUUUUCGAUCUUGUGUUUUGAUGAAUGGAUACAUAUGGAUAGCUUAUUUGGCUUGUUAUACACACUUUGUAGUUUAAAUGGUGGUAUAUAUAUAUGUCAACUAUGGGUGUUGGCUCCAACAAUUCUCAUUGGUCUCAAACCAAUGAGGUGCAUUUCAAUGAUCAUGAAUUUGAGGUGGACGAGGAUGGUGAGGGUAUCGUCAGUGCACCGAAAGGAAGAGCGGGCAACUACACCAUGGACGAAGACGUCUUGCUAUGCAAUACAUGGUUGCAAGUGUCUAGGGAUGUCACCGUUGGAGGGGACCAAAGUAGAGAUGCAUAUUGGAUCCAGAUGAAGGAUCACUUUGAUUUGCAGAAUAAAAGUGGAAUUGACCGCACGGAAAGAUCUCUUCGUUCCCGAUGGUCGACAAUCAACAGAGAUUGUCAAAAGUGGGCGACCACACUUAAGGCGGUUGACACGUUAAACCCAAGUGGCACUAAUGAUAGAGAUAGGGUAAGUUUCAUUUCUUUCAUGAUUCUUCCAUGUUCAUGCUUCUUCUUUGUUCAUGCUUUUUUUGGUGUUUCGAGUGCUAACUUGUUCUUUGUUUGUAGCUCACUAUUGCACAAAACUUAUUUCAAGGAGAGGAGAAGAAGACCAAGAAAGGAAAUAUGAAGAAAGGGAGGCCAUGUACCUUGCCUCAUUGCUAUGAGGUGUUGAAGGAUGAUGAGAAAUGGAAGCCCCAUGAAGGUGUCAAUGAGGAGACCAACAAACACAAGAGAAGUAUUGAUUUGGAUGAUGAUAAGGCGGAGGCUAUUGGAAAUAUGCCCUAGAGGCAAUAAUAAAUUAGUUAUUAUUAUAUUUCUUUGUUCGUAAUAAUCGUUUACUAUCCAUGCUAUAAUUGUAUUGAUUGGAAACACAAAUACAUGUGUGGAUACAUGGACAAAACAUUGUCCCUAGUAAGCCUCUAGUUGACUAGCUCGUUGAUCAAAGAUGGUCAAGGUUUCCUGACCAUAGACAAGUGUUGUCACUUGAUAACGGGAUCACAUCAUUGGAAGAAUGAUGUGAUGGACAAGACCCAAACUAUAAACGUAGUAUAUGAUCGUGUCAGUUUAUUGCUACUGUUUUCUGCAUGUCAAUGUAUCUGUUCCUAUGACCAUCAGAUCAUGCAACUCCCGGACACCGGAGGAAUACCUUGCGUGUAUCAAAUGUAUCAGCGUAACUGGGUGACUAUAAUAGUGCUCUAUAGGUAUCUCCAAAGGUGUCUGUUGGGUUGGCAUGGAUCAAGACUGGGAUUUGUCACUCCGUGUGACGGAGAGGUAUCUCGGGGCCCACUCGGUAAUACAACAUCACAACAAGCCUUGCAAGCAAUGUGACUGAGGAGUUAGUUACGGGAUCUUGUAUUACGGAAUGAGUAAAGAGACUUGCCGGUAACGAGAUUGAACUAGGUAUGGUGAUACUGACGAUCGAAUCUCGGGCAAGUAACAUACCGAAGGACAAAGGGAAUAGUAUACGGGAUUAUAUGAAUCCUUGACAUAGAGGUUCAACCGAUAGAGAUCUUCGUAGAAUAUGUAGGAGCCAAUAUGGACAUCCAGGUCCCGCUAUUGGUUAUUAACCAGAGAGUGUCUCAGGUCAUGUCUGCAUAGUUCUCGAACCCACAGGGUCUUCACACUUAAGAUUCAGUGCAUUUCGGUAUAGUUGAGUUAUAUGUGUUGGUGACCGAAGUUUUGUUCGGAGUCCCGGAUGAGAUCCCGAACGUCACGAGGAGUUACGGAAUGGUCUGGAAACGAAUAUUGAUAUAUAGGAAGUUGGUAUUUGGAUUCCGGAAGGUUUUCGGGCAUUGCCGGCAGUGUACCGGGAAUGACGAAUGGGUUCUGAGGGCCCACUGGGUGGGCCCACCAUGCCCAAGGGGUCCGCAUGGUUUUAUUGGAUGCGCAAUAAGGCAUAAUGGGUUGACAAAGUCAUCCAAGGAAAGCCUUUGAGGAAAAAGUGGAAAAUCCAAAAAAGGUGGGAAAUUAAGGAAGGAGUCCUAAUCCAAGUGGAGUUGGAGGAGGACUCCUCCCUCCUCCACUUCGGCCGACCCAAGGGAGCCUCCCUUGUGGCGCCAAGGCUGCCUCCUCCCUCCUCCUAUAUAUACUACAGGUUUAGGGAUUUUUGAGACACAACUUUGCCACGUGUUGCCCUCUCCUCUAAAUCGUAGUUCUUCCUCUAGAUCGGUUUUCUACGGAGCUCGGGCGGAGCCCUGAAGGAAUAGAUCACCACCACCACCGGAGCGCCGUCGCGCUGCCGGGGAACUCAUCUACAUCCCCGUCUCUCUUUCUGGAUCAAGAAGGCGGAGAUCGUCAUCGAGCUUUACGUGUUCGAAACGCGGAGGUGCCGUCCGUUCGGCACUUGAUCGGGACGGAUCACGAGACGGUUCGUGGGACGGAUUGUGAAGACGUACCACUACAUUAACCACGUUUAUUAACGCUUCCGCUUAGCAAUCUACAAGGGUAUGUGGAUCCGAUCUCCCUCUCGUAGAUGAUCAUCACCAUGAUAGGUCUUCGUGUGCGUAGGAAUUUUUUUGUUUCCCAUGCAACGUUCCCCAACAGAGGCAUCAAGUGAUGACGGCAAGAGAAGCCCUACACCAAACUCGGUUGCCUACUCCAAGCCAAAAAGACCAAAUGGAGGCAAGAAAUACGCAAAAGAAAAGAAGAAGAGGAAAGGUGAUGAUGCGCUAACAAUUGCUAUGGAAGCUAUUGUGAACGCAAGGAAGGAAGCUAACAAGGUGAGGAAAAUGGCAAAGAACCAAGAUGCGGCGGCCGAGGUUAUGAAGUUGGCGGCCUAGGAUAGGAUCGUGGCGACCGAGGAGAGGAAGGUGUCAUUGUAGCAGAAGAAAUUGGCCAUGAAAGAGCGAACUAGAUUGUUGGAAUGGGAGAAAUAAUUGAUCUUCAUGGACACAUCUACCCUUGAUGAGAAGCAAAAGGAGUGCGUUAAUCUUGCUCGUGAAGAAGUGUUGGUACAAAAAAGAAGCAUGAGUGGUUGGGUGGCUUCGGAGCUACCAUUGGAGGCAUGGGAGGCAUGGGUGCCCUAGGAAGCAUGGGAGGCAUGGGAGCACCUCCAACCAUGAGAAGUAUGGGAGGCAUGGGAGCACCUCCAACCAUGGGUGCCAUGGAAAGCAUGGGAGGCAUGGAUGGCUUCGGAGGCAUGAGAGGCAUGAGUUUUGCGUCUCUCAUGGGAGGCAUGUGAGCACCUCCGGGUGACAUGGGAGGCAUGGGAGCACCUCUGGGUGAUAUGGGAGGCAUGGGAGGCAUGAGAGCAUCUCCAGGUGACAUGGGUGUGUCUAACACACAUUCGCAUAAUGCCGUUGAAGAUCUUGCCAACACCUUCCGAGCUCCCCAUGUAGAUGCAGCGCGCGACUAAGAAGAAGAGGAGGAAGAAAUGUCGUCAGAUGAGGAAGAAGAAUUGGAGGAAGAGGAGGACGAAGAUGAGUGGGAUGAGGCAUGUUUGUUGACGUGCCAUUUAUUUGUGUGAAUUUUUAUGUCAUGAACUAGGUUGGGUGAUUUUGAACUUGGUUGGAUGAUGAGAUGUGAUGUGUCAUGUCUCCGAACUUUUUAUGUCAUGAUGAUCUUGAUUGGGUGAUUUAAACUAUGAUAUGCCUUGUUUUGAUGUUUGAAAUAUCACCAAAUUGACAAAAAAAAUGAAUAUGUUGCAAGCGCCGGCUGCUCACGCGCGCGCUGUAGUUUAACGCGCGUGCUGGAGCGGCUCGCGCACGCUAUAUUUUGUGACGGCCGCUGGAGCCAACGCUCUCCGGUGCGCUAAAAAUGACUAUUUCGACGCUGGAAAAUUCUUUUAAUCGCGCGUGGCUGUUGGAUAUGCUCUAAGGUUGGUUUUGAUUUUGUUGGAAAGAAGUUGUUUUGACAUGUAAAUCAUUCCAGUAAUGCUACACGUACAUAAAUUUAAAGGGGGUUUUACAGGCAGGUGAAUUUUGAUUGAAGGUUAAGAGGGAUGAGACCCUACCCACCUUGAAAAUUAGAGGAGAGGUUUUAGCAUUUUUUAAAGGCGGCACCGCUGAACGUCCGAUUUAAAGCUACACCGGGAGUUGCAUGUGCCGUCCAUGGCAACAUCAAGCCUCCAUGAAGCUCCAUAGCAACCCAGCAGCGAGACGAAGCACCGCCGACGUCAGCGAAGUUUCAUUACAGCACCGGCGGAGCUCCAAUGCAGCACCGGCGGUGCUUCAAUGCAACUUCCGUGGCGCUCAUUGCAGCUUUGGCGGCGCUUCACUGCAACUACGACUACCUCACUGAUGCUUCAUCGCAACUCCGGCGAGCCCCAUCUGCUUCACCGUCUGCUGCAACUCGUCACUUCAGCUCCGACGACCCUCGUGCCGCUUCAUCGCAACGCCGGCGAGCCCUCUCUGCUUCAACUGCUACACGCAGCUCCCACCGGCCAUGGCAGCAGCAUGGCCACGUCAAGAACUGCAGGUCGACGCGGGUGCUGCAGCUUGCAAGUUGCAGCCGCCUGCUGCAGACAUCUUGCUCCGACGAGGGUUGAUGGCGGAGAUGCGGUCCGGCUUGCUCCGACGAGGCUAAUAACGAAGUGGUGGAGAGACGGUGCAUCCAGACGAAGGUAGGAGAUGAUAGAUAGAAAGAGUAUCUCGCUGCAUCGCUGGUAAGAUAGAAAAAGAACUGACCACUUACGUUUACACUCGAGAUAAAGGUAAACGCUUAGUAUCUAUAGUCUGGAACGACGCCAUCGCCAGACCGCUCGAAUCGCGUCGAUUCAGAAGAAUCCCGACGCUCCAGAUUUCACCUGCGUUUUGAAUAAUAUGGUAUCUGAAGACCCUGUUCCGUUAAUCUCGCGCGUAAUCAUCUGCAAUUAAUCCCCCACAACCACCGCUCGUGCUCUGCCCCCUCCCUGUCCCCCCACCUCAUGCAUCAUCGCGUGCAGCGACAUCCCCUCCAUCGUCACCAACCAACGACGCCACCAGUACAGGCACCGACCCCGCUGCCCCCACCGGCCACCGACGCCAGCAUCACCGUCCACCGGACCGACCACCGGAGCGUCCAUGCAUCGACAACCCCGCGCCAUCCUCUGCCCCCUCAUCCGUUUCCCCAACUCACCCUCGCCGCCUGCAGCGGAAUCUCCUCCACCGCCACCAGCCAACGUCGUUGCCUCAACAUGCCACAGAACCCGCUGCCCCACCGGCCAUCGACGCAACCAUCACCGCCCACCGACACAUCUAGCUCACCGCCUGUGCUCGACCCGCCCCGCACCACCAGCUCGACCCCCCCUCGGAUCUACCACCACGUCGGCGGCGAGCGGAGCAGGCACCCUCAUUCCAUCCGCACCAUCGCCAAGGCUUCACCCGUCGAUUGAAUCUGCCGCAUUACAUCGGCCGCCAAUUUCUGGAGCUCCCCAUCCCCAGUUCAUAGGUACUCUGUUUUUUUGUGCAUUGUCCCAGAUUUGGGGUUUGUUCUCAUCUUUUUGCAAUGAAAUAUGCUGUCUAAUUCAUCCUAGUAGACUAAAUGUUCCCUAUGUUCAUUCAUGGAAUAACAUUUUGGUUUGAAUUUUUAUACAUGGUACCCGUGCUUCCUAUAUGCGCAAUUUAUAGUUCAAGUACACCCCCAAUAUGCUUCCUAUGUCAAAUGCUUCCAUGCUUUGCAUUAUUGUUUCAAACAUUGUCAUUGUAUGCUCCCUUUUCUAUUUUCGCAAUAUGUUAUAAUCUAAGUUACUUGCUUUCGGUAGAAUUUUACAAAGCUUCAUAGAAUAUCAUUCGGUGCUUCGUCAACAUAAACAGGAGAACAAAACAUGCACCCUUUAAUUUGAUUGCCUGCUUCAAUAGUAUAACCAACACAAAUGCACAUCUUCCUGUUAGUUGCACCCUGAGUGUACCUAUAUUGUUUUAUUUCUUGAAUAGCAUGUCAGGCAUGGCCGCUUUUAUGGAAAAGGGGGUGUUGUUGGUGUCGGUCGACGUCCUCUCCAUUGACGUCGCUAGCACUAGGUUCUGCAGUGUAUGGUUUCUGAUUCGUUCGUUUUAUAGAAAUGCUUCCAUGAAAACCAGCCACUAGGAUAAGCAUCCACUCAAUGGAAGCAACCUACUAAUGCCUGUGUCAUGCGCCAUAUUCAUCGUGUGCCCAUUUUUUAUGCUCCUGUCACGAAACAAAGGAUUCAGUUUUUUGCACUGUAUUUUGCUGUCGUGCCUAAUACAAUACAUCCCAAUAUGCAUCCUGUGUAAAAUCUACACACACAUUGGGCGGCAAAUUUGUUAUGUAUCCCUUUUUUUGAAAACCCCUUGCUUCCAUUGAAUAGCACAAAUGAACCUGGUCGCAUCUGAAAAUUGCAUCACACACAUAUGCGUCUGGAGUGUACGGGUUCUGAUUUGGUUGUUUAUAAAAAUGCUUCCACCCGUAUAAGCAUCCACUCAAUGGAAGCAACUUACUAAUGCCUGUGUCAUGCACCGUAUUCUGAGUCCUCUUAGUGUAACAUAUCCCUCUGCUAAUGUGGCCACUUUUUUGUGCUCCCGUCAUGAAAAAUGCAUUCAUUUUUUUUGCAUUGUAAUUUUGCUGCCGUGCCUAAUACAAGCAUACAAAUUUUGCUAACCCAUCACAUUACUCUUUUUUCUCAGGUGACAAUCAAUAAUGACUAAAAAAGAUAAAGAAUCGCUCAUGCUCCAGAGUCCAUAUGCGGCUGGCCGGUUGUGCUUCCUCAAUGGUCUCAAAGACUAAUCUAACAUAUGGCGCAGCUGGUCGAGUAGUUGUUGCAUCAUUACCACAUGGAGCAUAUGUGUCCCCUUCAAUGUCCUCCAUGAUUUCAUCCCACAAAGAAUUUUUUUUAGCAUCACCAUUGUACACAUGAAAUCGCAGAGCCAAAACAAUGGGCCCAAGUUGAACACAACUGAAACAGAGACCACAUAUGAAUAUAUCUGAACCUAUACGGUUCUACCAGACCACAACAUAUUCUGAACACAGACAACGGCAAUACAGUCUAAGCUUCCAUCAGCAAAUAAAUUUGAAUCUACAGGCAACAAAACGUGCUUCUAACUACUUGCUCUCACAUUCAUCAUACAGAUUCAUCAAGGAUCCCUCAUGUUUGGGUUAAAAACCAGCCAAACAAUGCAUCAGACUACCAACAUACAUCAGAGCUACAAUAAACAUCCGAAAAAGGACAGCUAAAAACUCUGAAUAUGUACCAAGGUGUUCAUGUUACCUCCUCAUCUCCAAUAUUCAGCACAAACGGAUUCAUGUACGUCGGAUUACUCGAAGCCACAACACCCAAAACGCCUUUAAAACCGCUGGUACUACACGAUCCAUGCCGCCAGAUUGCAUCAGAAACCCCCUAUACUUGAUAUCACGUCUUAGAUGCGCCAUUUCUGCAGAUUCUGGUCUCUCAAAGGAAGCAUGCGCGCGGGAGGAAGAGGCACAACAGACGAGCUUUUCUCCCGCGGGAGGAAGACGUAUGUCGAGGGCGUACUUUUAGGGAGAGUUAUUGUGUACGCCCGACCGCUUAAUUACAGGCUUUUAAACCCUCUCAACCUGUACAUCCCACUAAUCUGAUGGAUUCCAUUGCCCCUGAUCCGACGGUGCAUAAAUAGUUUGAUGGAUGCUAAAACGCCUGUAGUCUGAUGCCUAACGCUUUCCCGAGAUAAAAGACUUUGCACGUGUGGUCCACACCACGCGUGGCGUCCACGCCAAAUCAGCCGGAUGAUUCAGAUCGUUUUCCUUUUGCAAAGGGAAACGUUUCCCCCCUGGCGCGCCGGCCGAAUCGUUCGGCCGGUCGCGCGCGGGUCGCGCUAGCUGGCAGGUGUAUGCAUCAUUUUUCUGUAAAAAUUGCUGCAAUCGUGUAUUUUUUUGUUACAAAUGUUUUUUAUGCAGCUUUUUUCUCGUGUAAAUUUGUUGCGACCAACGUUCAUAUUUGCUACAAGCGUUUUUUAUUUACUAGAUUUGUACAGUAAAAAAGUUGCAUAUACGUUUGGUUGCAACUCGAGUUCGUUGAAUUUUUGCUACAACCGGCGUUUUGACUUUUGCUACAACCGUGCUAUUUUUUGCUAUAACCGGCAUCAUUUUUUGCUGCAACCGUUCGCUGAAAAAGUUGCAUACACGUCAUGUAGAUUUUUGCUACAAUCGGCGUUUAACUUUUGCUACCACGCAUCAUCUUCUUUGUUUUUUUGCUACGAUCAUGUAGAUAUUUUUUUGCUAUAAUUAAUUUUUUGUUGCAACCGUUGCGAAAAAUGCUGCAUAGCGUCGAAAUUUGUUGCAAGAUCUGACGGUCCCUGUGCAUAUCGGACGGUCAGCCUGCGACCGGCGCUGGCGCUCGCGCCGGCGCGCCGGCGCCUAGUACUCCCCUUUGCUUUUGCAAAUCAUUCGGCAUUCUGUAGCUUAUCAUACUCUGUUCUUCGGCCCCGCUGUUCUUCCUCCCAAACCCCCGUAUGUAGAACCCGAGCCAGCAGCCAUGCUCCGUCGCCUCCUACUCCGCCAUGCCCGUCGGCUCCAUUACUCCUCCUCAUUCUCCUCCGCCUUACCCCUCUCCUCGCCGACCUUCGCUGUCUUCGGCGCCAACACCGGCGUCGGCAAGACCCUCGUCUCCGCUGGCCUCGCCGCCUCCCUCCUCCGUUCCCACGCCGCUUCCCCCUCUGCCGUCCUCUACCUCAAACCGCUCCAGACCGGCUUCCCCGACGAUUCCGACGCGGGGUUCCUCUACCGCAGGGUCCCCGCGCUUCUCCGCCCCUCCCACGCCGCGCACCUCGCCGCCUCCAUCGACACCCUCUCCCCUGCCCCGUCAGUGGAAACCCAAUCCCCUUCCCGCGAGGAGGCGGCCUUCUCCUACGACGGGGAGGGUGAGGCGGUGAGGAAGCUUCUGGCUUGCAGGACGCUGUACGCAUGGCGGGAGGCGGUGUCGCCGCACCUGGCGGCGGAGAGGGAGGGGAUGGCGGUAGAAGACGCGCAUGUGAGGUCGCUCCUGGCAGCGUGCCUCGUCGAGGGGGAAAAUUUGGGGAAGGGGGAGGGGGAUGUGUGGAAGCUGGUCGAGACUGCCGGCGGCGUGGCCAGCCCGGG
rnacentral:lncRNA from 1 species